CUUAUCAAGAGCGGCGGAGGAACUGGUCCUGUGAAGCCCGGCAACCUAAUUGCUUUUUAAAAGCGAAAAAGGUGCUAAAUCCUGCGGAUUUUAUCCGAGAGAUGAGG
rnacentral:ncRNA from 1 species